UGGGGAAUAUUGCGCAAUGGGCGAAAGCCUGACGCAGCGACGCCGCGUGAGGGAUGAAGGUUUUCGGAUCGUAAACCUCUGUCAGAAGGGAAGAAACCGCACUGUGCUAAUCAGCAGUGCCUUGACGGUACCUUCAAAGGAAGCACCGGCUAACUCCGUGCCAGCAGCCGCGGUAAUACGGAGGGUGCAAGCGUUAAUCGGAAUUACUGGGCGUAAAGCGCACGUAGGCUGCUUUGUAAGUCAGGGGUGAAAUCCCACGGCUCAACCGUGGAACUGCCUUUGAUACUGCUUAGCUUGAAUCCGGGAGAGGGUGGCGGAAUUCCAGGUGUAGGAGUGAAAUCCGUAGAUAUCUGGAGGAAAAUCAGUGGCGAAGGCGGCCACCUGGACCGGUAUUGACGCUGAGGUGCGAAAGCGUGGGGAGCAAACAGG
rnacentral:rRNA from 1 species